UCCCUGGUGGACUAGUGGUUAGGCCACAGCGCUCUUACUGCUGUGGUCUGGGUUCGAUUCACAGUUAGGGAU